rnacentral:lncRNA from 1 species
AGAAAGUAUUUAAUCAAACACUAUACAGAAAAAUAAAAAAGAUACAAGUGCAACUGUUGAGGUAGUAAUAAUUAGCAACUAAAGGUUACAAUAAAAUAGCACUGACAUGGGAAAGUCUAAAACCCUGAGUAAAAACAAAAUCUGUAAACUGCAGCUCUGCAACAUCAAGGUUCUGUCUCUUCCAAGGAGCAGCAGAGGAUGAUCCUGCCCCAUCUGAUCAGUGGCUCUCUGGCCAGUAAAUCAGCAGUGGACUUUGAAUGCAACAAAAGAACAAAUGAACUCCAUAGCUCUAAGAGCCCUUCAAAACUGAAUGGAUUCUGUCACAAACAAGCUGUUGUGCCUGAGAGUGAUGAACUAGCUGUCAUGAGGUCUAAAGGGUUUAUGUUCCCCCUCACCAACUGCCUUCUUCAGCACCAGUGUCCUCCAGGACUGGAAAAACGUGGCUGGCCAGACCCAGUUCCUGGGUCAAGCUACUGUAUUUUGGUGCUGGAGAGGAAGAGAUUUCCAGUGAAACAGUUAAAGGUAUCAAAAUGUCAACAGAUGUCAAAAGGAAUGGGUCCUGAAAUACCACAGAGUAGAAAGGUAGAUGAACAGAAACUGAAAGCGGGAAUUGCUUCUAUCAAAAUGAGAUAAGCAUCUUGGUAAAAAAAAAAUAUAUAUAUAUAUAUGUA